AGUGAACGCUGGCGGUAGGCCUAACACAUGCAGGUCGAACGGCAGCACAGUAAGAGCUUGCUCUUACGGGUGGCGAGUGGCGGACGGGUGAGGAAUACAUCGGAAUCUACUUUUUCGUGGGGGAUAACGUAGGGAAACUUACGCUAAUACCGCAUACGACCUACGGGUGAAAGCAGGGGAUCUUCGGACCUUGCGCGAUUGAAUGAGCCGAUGUCGGAUUAGCUAGUUGGCGGGGUAAAGGCCCACCAAGGCGACGAUCCGUAGCUGGUCUGAGAGGACGAUCAGCCACACUGGAACUGAGACACGGUCCAGACUCCUACGGGAGGCAGCAGUGGGGAAUAUUGGACAAUGGGCGCAAGCCUGAUCCAGCCAUACCGCGUGGGUGAAGAAGGCCUUCGGGUUGUAAAGCCCUUUUGUUGGGAAAGAAAAGCAGCAGGUUAAUACCCCGCUGUUCUGACGGUACCCAAAGAAUAAGCACCGGCUAACUUCGUG
rnacentral:rRNA from 1 species